UGCAGAUGAUUUAUUAUCACGAUGGUCUUCCAAACCUACACGGUUCUGACGAUAAUGCCUUCUUUGGCUUUGCUGAUGCAGCUAU